GCCACUAUGGCACAAUGGUUUGAGUAUUAGACUUGGACUCUGUGAGAUCAAGGUUCAAAUCCCUGUUCAAGCA